rnacentral:rRNA from 1 species
GAUGAACGCUAGCGGGAGGCCUAACACAUGCAAGCCGAGCGGUAGAGAUUCUUCGGAAUCUUGAGAGCGGCGUACGGGUGCGGAACACGUGUGCAACCUGCCUUUAUCAGGGGGAUAGCCUUUCGAAAGGAAGAUUAAUACCCCAUAAUAUAUUUGAUGGCAUCAUUAGAUAUUGAAAGCUUUGGCGGAUAGAGAUGGGCACGCGCAAGAUUAGAUAGUUGGUGAGGUAACGGCUCACCAAGUCGAUGAUCUUUAGGGGGCCUGAGAGGGUGAUCCCCCACACUGGUACUGAGACACGUACCAGACUCCUACGGGAGGCAGCAGUGAGGAAUAUUGGACAAUGGGUUAGCGCCUGAUCCAGCCAUCCCGCGUGAAGGACGACGGCCCUAUGGGUUGUAAACUUCUUUUGUACAGGGAUAAACCUACUCUCGUGAGAGUAGCUGAAGGUACUGUACGAAUAAGCACCGGCUAACUCCGUG